rnacentral:sRNA from 1 species
AAUAUAUAUGGAAGAUGCAGUAUUCUAGUCAUAGCCAGCUUUAAGGACGGCGAAGUAAUAGCGUCAAAGGGCAUAUCGGUGAAGUUUCUGGUGCAGGCUUUGGUUGCCCAAACUGGGGCGUGUGCUGGAAGUUAAGAUUUUUGGGCGAGCUGUAACGGCAUACAGAAGUCGUCCCAAUUUUCGCGGAGACUCAGUCGGGUGUGAAAGCACUCCCUGAGAGAAGAACCUGCAUUGCGGUAAAAGUCGUGUGCAGUGUAGCCUACUUUGAGUGAGUGUACGGGAAUCGGGUAUCCAACAUAUUCAACUAAUGUCGACGGGCACGUUGAAUAUCUGCUCGUGAAACUGCACUUGCAAAACAAGUGAAUUACUGAUGGCUGUGUCAGAGAAAAUCUCUAGACUGUUGCCUUAGCAGGCAAAGACAGGAUUAUAGUGUGUUCUGAGUGGCGAUUCGGUGUUAUGUCAUGCUUAAAAGGAAACUGCUUAAAUGGUGACAUUGAGUGCGUGGCUGGGAAAUCCGACCGAACCUAUGACACAAGGUUUACUGACUUUGUCGUCUU